CCUACGGGAGGCAGCAGUGAGGAAUAUUGGUCAAUGGGCGGAAGCCUGAACCAGCCAAGUAGCGUGCAGGAUGACGGCCCUACGGGUUGUAAACUGCUUUUAUACGGGAAUAACGCGCCGUACGUGUAGGGCUUUGCAUGUACCGUAUGAAUAAGGACCGGCUUAUUCCGUGCCAGCAGCCGCGGUAAUACGGAAGGUCCGGGCGUUAUCCGGAUUUAUUGGGUUGAAAGGGAGCGUAGGCCGCAUGUCAAGCGUGCUGGGAAAUGUCCGGGCGCACCCCGGGCCUUGCAGCGCGAACUGGCGUGCUUGAUUCCGCGGCCAGCAGGCGGACUUCGUCGUGUAGCGGUGAAAUGCUUAGAUAUUACG
rnacentral:rRNA from 1 species